rnacentral:piRNA from 1 species
UACAAAGUUCAAAAGUGAGGGCAUGC